UCGGUGGGCGGCAAGCCAAGCCAAGUCAAGGCCGUCGGCGCGGCGUUCGUUUUGGUUCGUGUGGUAUGGUGAGGCCGCGUCCGUUACAGUGAGAUAGAGCUUGUUUUUCAGCAAAGAUGACAGACGUAGCGUGCCUAGUUGUGGUGCUUCAUGCGGACAUUAGACAAAAGUGCCUGCUUGAAGAGGACACUCCAACUGCUUUGAGGAGUGCUAUCUCGGCUUGGAGAAUUCUGGCGUCAUACGUGAACGCCACUGACAGGAUUCAGGUUCAGGAUAGCGACUUCAGUGGGUGUUGAAUUCGCGGAGGGCGAUGAGAUAAUGCAUACGGCGACAGUACCCGUCUUGCAACCUCACCGCCAGGAACGCUCGAAGGAUUCAACCUCCUUGCUGUCCACGCCCUGCGAAUACUGGGUUCGUGCGUGAAGGGUUCCGAAGCAAUUAAGAACAUGUUUGUGCAUUAUGAUACACCUGUGCCGGUGACACCGUGCAUCAUGUUCACUGGGAGCAGCAUUGAAGAAGCGGAGCAUAUGGACCUCUAUGUCGGCGAGUAGCGCCUUCUCAGAACCAUCGACCUUGAAGAGGGCUUGGCUGCCAUUCUUGCAGCUAUUGGUUAAUUCAUAUUGUCUACAGUGCAAAGCCGCACCGUACAUUUUGAAGCCUGGAAGAGCGGUGCCUGAAAGUGAGUGACUCUCGUGCAAGAAGCCCCGUGGAUCAAUUUUUUCAACAGUUACGGAAAAGAGCUUGUGGAUGCUUCGAACAUCUAAAACAUUUGCUACUUUAACUGAC